UAGGGAAUAUCAGAAAUGGACGAAAGUCUGAUCUAGCAACACCGCGUGUGCGAUGAAGGCCUUCGGGUCGUAAAGCACUUUUUGGAAGGAAUAGGAAGGAAUGUACUUCCAGAAUAAGUCUCGGCUAACUACGUGCCAGCAGCCGCGGUAACACGUAGGAGGCAAACGUUAUCCGGAUUUACUGGGCGUAAAGCGCGUGUAGGUGGUACUGUAAGUAGGGCGUGAAAGCUCCUGGCUCAACUGGGAGAGGCCGUUCUAAACUACAGAACUAGAGGAUGGUAGAGGGAGGUGGAAUUCCAGGUGUAGCGGUGGAAUGCGCAGAUAUCUGGAGGAACACCGGUGGCGAAGGCGGCCUCCUAGACCAUUCCUGACACUCAGACGCGAAAGCUAGGGUAGCAAACGG
rnacentral:rRNA from 1 species